CAUGAUGAGUUGUAACUUGUAUAAGAGAACUAACUCUCAGUAUUGUAAAGAGAUCAGAAUUUACAACAAAGAAAUUAAAUACAAAAAUAUUUAGAGCUUUGCUCCUUCAUCUCUCAUUCCCUCUUCUUCCAUAGCUUUCUUGUGCUACUUGCAGGUUGAUUAAGGGAAUUGAGAAUUAGGUCGUAUCAAUGGUAUCAUCC
rnacentral:lncRNA from 1 species